rnacentral:rRNA from 1 species
GCGGACGGGUGAGUAACACGUGGGAACGUGCCUUUAGGUUCGGAAUAGCUCCUGGAAACGGGUGGUAAUGCCGAAUGUGCCCUUCGGGGGAAAGAUUUAUCGCCUUUAGAGCGGCCCGCGUCUGAUUAGCUAGUUGGUGGGGUAAUGGCCCACCAAGGCUACGAUCAGUAGCUGGUCUGAGAGGAUGACCAGCCACAUUGGGACUGAGACACGGCCCAAACUCCUACGGGAGGCAGCAGUGGGGAAUCUUGCGCAAUGGGCGAAAGCCUGACGCAGCCAUGCCGCGUGUAUGAUGAAGGUCUUAGGAUUGUAAAAUACUUUCACCGGUGAAGAUAAUGACUGUAGCCGGAGAAGAAGCCCCGGCUAACUUCGUGCCAGCAGCCGCGGUAAUACGAAGGGGGCUAGCGUUGCUCGGAAUUACUGGGCGUAAAGGGAGCGUAGGCGGACAUUUAAGUCAGAGGUGAAAUCCCGGAGCUUAACUUCGGAACUGCCUUUGAUACUGGGUGUCUUGAGUGUGAGAGAGGUAUGUGGAACUCCGAGUGUAGAGGUGAAAUUCGUAGAUAUUCGGAAGAACACCAGUGGCGAAGGCGACAUACUGGCUCAUUACUGACGCUGAGGCUCGAAAGCGUGGGGAGCAAACAGGAUUAGAUACCCUGGUAGUCCACGCCGUAAACGAUGAUUGCUAGUUGUCGGGAAGCUUGCUUCUCG